AGAGGGUAUUUUUAGUUAGUUAGUGAAUUUUGUUUUUUUUUUGUGUCUACUGGGUGCAAUUUCUCUAAUUUAAAACACUUCCACAUAUUUUUUUUUCAUGAUCUCUGUUGGUUAUUUUAUAUUCAAGAUUUGUAAUCUUAUCUUUAUUAACUAUAUUAAUUGACUGAAAAAGAAAUUGGGAUAUACAAUAAUAUGAUGAUAAUAUUAAUCUUGGUAGCUCCAUUUUAUCGCUUAUUCGCUUAUAAACAUCUAUCAAAGGCUUGUUUGC
rnacentral:lncRNA from 1 species